UUACGACCAUAUCGAACUGGAACACUGGUUCUCGUACGGUCAUCGAAGUUAAGCAACGUGGAGCCUGAUCAGCACCUGGAUUUGUGACCACUUGGGAAUACCAGGUGCUGUAAG